GAUGAACGCUGGCGGCGUGCUUAACACAUGCAAGUCGAACGAAGCACUUUUAAAGAUUUCUUCGGAAUGAAGUUUUAGUGACUGAGUGGCGGACGGGUGAGUAACGCGUGGGGAACCUGCCUCACACAGGGGGAUAACAGUUGGAAACGGCUGCUAAUACCGCAUAAGCGCACAGUACCGCACGGUACAGUGGGAAAAACUCCGGUGGUGUGAGAUGGACCCGCGUCUGAUUAGCUAGUUGGAAUGGCAACGGCAUACCAAGUCGACGAGCAGUAGCCGACCUGAGAGGGUGACCGGCCACAUGGGGACUGAGACACGGCCCAAACUCCUACGGGAGGCAGCAGUGGGCAAUAUUGCACAAUGGAGGAAACCCUGAUGCAGCGACGCCGCGUGAGCGAAGAAGUAUUUCGGUAUGUAAAGCUCUAUCAGCAGGGAAGAAGAAAUGACGGUACCUGACUAAGAAGCACCGGCUAAAUACGUGCCAGCAGCCGCCGUAA
rnacentral:rRNA from 1 species